GAGCUAUCUGCAGCAGGGUCAAGAAGACUGGAGUUUAUACCGCAUCAGUCAGUCGUUGGAUGUAGGCUGUCACAGGAAUGGAGAUGUGACCUUGGAGAGGAAAAAUACAGGCUUCUUAAACAGUCUUGCAUUUGAAUGAGAUUGAAGAACUAUGGAGGUCCUUAUUUUGUAAAAGUCAUCACCAUUCAUCAGAUAUGAUAGAAUUACCAACAAGUAUCAUAAAACUCUGCUUUACCCUCCUUGUCUUAACCAAAAGAUUGUGUAUUCUUUCUCACAAUGGAAAAAAAAAGAAGAAGUAAGGUAUCCACUAAGAUAUGAUGAGUUUAUUGAUUUCAUCAAAAAUUCAGGUUACUUCCACUAAGUCUCCACGCCACUGUCC
rnacentral:lncRNA from 1 species